GUCAAUGGCCAUACCACUGUGAAUAUACCUGAUCCUAUCUGAUCUCAGAAGUUAAUCAGCAUCCAGCCUAGUUAGUACCUAAGUGAGAAAAUACAUAUGGAAAGCUACUAUUUUAA
rnacentral:rRNA from 1 species